AUAAUAAGCAUUAUCCCACAGUUCUGCCUUUUAAUGUGGCAUAGCCAUAUUUGCUUAUAAUUUUUAUUCUACACAUAUCACUGCUUCUCAGUGUGUACAUACUGGGGAAGGGGGUCAUUUUGACCCAGAAGGAUUUUUGAAUCAUCAAAUAUUUUCAAAUCGAAGGUUUUUCUAGUCUAGCUUCAUUCAGAUGAGCGUUGUGCAUCGAAGUUCAAGUCCCAAGAGAUGUUAUCAGUCGGAACGGCCGAGUGAACAAAUAUUUGUGAACCUCCUUCCAAAUGAAAUGUUCUAUAGAAGGGUGGAAGUGGUAAGAGACCGUUGAAACAGUGGUUAAGAAGGUUAUAUUUAUUUGGCCAUCAGCUCGUCUCAUGGUCUGAAGGAUGAUGAUGAUGAGGAAGAGGAGGAAGAAGAGAAGAUGAGGAACUUUUCCAAAAUAGGCAGUUUAACUCAUAAUAGACCCAAUUUCUAAAUACGAGGUUGGACUACGUCAUCUCUAAACGCAACCACUGGUCUGAAAAUAUGAGCUGUGUCAUAGAUACGGAGAACAAACAGGUGGUUGCCAAAGGAUGGGGGGAUUGGGCAAAAGAGGUGAAGGGGAUUCAGGGCCCCAAACUUCCAGUUAUAACAUAAAAAAGUCACAGAGAUAUAAUGUAAAGUCAGGGGGAAAUACAGUCAAUAUUGCAAUAACUGUGUAUGGUGGCCGAUGGUCCCCAGAUUUACAAGUGUGGGAAUCAACUCGGGUAAUGUACACAAAUGUCAAAUCACUAUACUGUACUCAAAACUCAUGUAAGCCACUACAUUCGUGGUAAACCACUAGUGUAAAACUAGUGCACACCACCACUACACUGCCGUAGUGGUUGAGUUUCAAUAAAAGUUAUGUGCAUCAACUCUAUUUCAACAAAAAAUUAAAAGUAACAAAACAAGGUAACAUUAUGAGAUUCGUUACACCUGGGCUUUAAUUUCCAAUUUUGGUUUAAUAUGUAUGACCUAACUUUAAAAAUCAGUUUACAGACAGACUAUCCUAAGGGCAAACAGUCCAACAAGACUUGCUCCAAUUCAAAGAAAAUCUUGAUAAGCAUUUUUUUUUUCCUUUGUGGUUAUUAUAAAGUAUUUAAGUUCAAUUUUUAAAAAAUCCACUAUAUUUGAUUGUCAUUAUUUGAGUCAACAUGUUUCAAGUUAUGUUUCAGAGCACGGUUAGUUGAAACAGCCCAGAUCUUACUCAUCAAAAGACUUGGAAUAUUCACAGAAACUCUGUCACUCAUUAUUUCUCAGAGUUUAAAGAAGUUUAUGAACAUCACUGAGAAUCUGUCUUUUCAGUUUUGAAAGGGAAGUUAUAAUACUGACUUUGAAGUAUCUUGGCCAGUGAAAAAAACGCUACACAUAUAAGUUAUCAAGUGAAAUUAAAAGCUAAAGAAAUAAUAGCUACUAUAAAUAAAAACAUUCACAUUUGUUUAUCUGUGCUCAUUUGUCUUAAUGUUACCAAAAUUUAUUUUUAAAUGUUUUAUUUUAAGAUGUUAUGUUCCUACAUUCCUAAAUCUAUCUCCAUUUUACAUUUUGUUAGGGCUUGCAUGCUAUUUCUUUUUUUUUUUAAUUAAAGUAUAGUUGAUUGAC
rnacentral:lncRNA from 1 species